CAACACAUGCAAGUCGAGCGGUAGAGAGAAGCUUGCUUCUCUUGAGAGCGGCGGACGGGUUUAGUAAUGCCUAGGAAUCUGCCUGGUAGUGGGGGAUAACGUCCGGAAACGGACGCUAAUACCGCAUACGUCCUACGGGAGAAAGCAGGGGACCUUCGGCUUGCGAUCAGAUGAGCCUAGGUCGCCGUAAUAGCUAGUUGGUGAGGUAAUGGCUCACCAAGGCGACGAUCCGUAAGGGCUGGUCUGAGAGGAUGAUCAGUCCACGGAACUGAGACACGGUCCAGACUCCUACGGGAGGCAGCAGUGGGGAGGGAUAUUGGACCGGCCAAUGGGCGAAAGCCUGAUCCAGCCAUGCCGCGUGUGUGAAGAAGGUCUUCGGAUUGUAAAUUUAAGUUGGGGGGAGGAAGGGCAGUUGCCUAAUACGUAACUGUUUUGACGUUACCGACAGAAUAAGCACCGGCUUGUGCCAGCAGCCGCGGUAAUACAGAGGGUGCAAGCGUUAAUCGGAAUUACUGGAAAAGCGUAAAGCGCGCGAAUAGGUGGUUUGUUAAGUUGGAUGUGAAAUCCCCGGGCUCAACCUGGGAGCAUUCAAAAAACUGACUGACUAGUGGUAGAGGGUGGUGGAAUUUCCUGUGUAGCGGUGAAAUGCGUAGAUAUAGGAAGGAACACCAGUGGCGAAGGCGACCACCUGGACUAAUACUGACACUGAGGUGCGAAAGCGUGGAAGGAGCAAACAGGAUUAGAUACCCUGGUAGUCCACGCCGUAAACGAUGUCAACUAGCCGUUGGAAGCCUUGAGCUUUUAGUGGCGCAGCUAACGCAUUAAGUUGACCGCCUGGGGAGUACGGCCGCAAGGUUAAAACUCAAAUGAAUUGACGGGGGCCCGCACAAGCGGUGGAGCAUGUGGUUUAAUUCGAAGCAACGCGAAGAACCUUACCAGGCCUUGACAUCCAAUGAACUUUCCAGAGAUGGAUUGGUGCCUUCGGGAACAUUGAGACAGGUGCUGCAUGGCUGUCGUCAGCUCG
rnacentral:rRNA from 1 species